rnacentral:rRNA from 1 species
GGAUCUAAGCGGAUUCGCUCCAACCCCUGUGACAUACCAAUUGUUGCCUCGGCGGAUCAGCCCGCUCCCGGUAAAACGGGACGGCCCGCCAGAGGACCCCUAAACUCUGUUUCUAUAUGUAACUUCUGAGUAAAACCAUAAAUAAAUCAAAACUUUCAACAACGGAUCUCUUGGUUCUGGCAUCGAUGAAGAACGCAGCAAAAUGCGAUAAGUAAUGUGAAUUGCAGAAUUCAGUGAAUCAUCGAAUCUUUGAACGCACAUUGCGCCCGCCAGUAUUCUGGCGGGCAUGCCUGUUCGAGCGUCAUUUCAACCCUCAAGCCCCCGGGUUUGGUGUUGGGGAUCGGCGAGCCCUUGCGGCAAGCCGGCCCCGAAAUCUAGUGGCGGUCUCGCUGCAGCUUCCAUUGCGUAGUAGUAAAACCCUCGCAACUGGUACGCGGCGCGGCCAAGCCGUUAAACCCCCAACUUCUGAAUGUUGACCUCGGAUCAGGUAGGAAUACCCGCUGAACUUAAGCAUAUCAAAAGCCGGGAGGAA